rnacentral:rRNA from 1 species
AUUGAACGCUGGCGGCGUGCUUAACACAUGCAAGUCGAACGGAGUGGCGAACGGGUGAGUAACACGUGGGUGACCUGCCCUGCACUUCGGGAUAAGCCUGGGAAACUGGGUCUAAUACCGGAUAGUGUGGGAUGGGCCCGCGGCCUAUCAGCUUGUUGGUGGGGUAAUGGCCUACCAAGGCGGCGACGGGUAGCCGGACUGAGAGGGUGGACGGCCCCAUUGGGGCUGGGACACGGCCCAGACGCCUACGGGAGGCAGCAGUGGUGAAUAUUGCACAAUGGGCGGAGGCCUGAUGCAGCCAUUCCGCGUGUAUGAAGAAGGCCGUAGGGGUGUAAGCUCCUUUCACCAUCGACGCGGUAGAUGGAGAAGAAGCACCGGCUAACUACGUGCCAGCAGCCGCGUAAUAC